GGGUUGUGAGGUUAAGCGACUAAGCGUACACGGUGGAUGCCCUGGCAGUCAGAGGCGAUGAAGGGCGUGCUAAUCUGCGAUAAGCGCCGGUAAGGUGAUAUGAACCGUUAUAACCGGCGAUACCCGAAUGGGGAAACCCAGUGUGAUUCGUCACACUAUCAUUAACUGAAUCCAUAGGUUAAUGAGGCGAACCGGGGGAACUGAAACAUCUAAGUACCCCGAGGAAAAGAAAUCAACCGAGAUUCCCCCAGUAGCGGCGAGCGAACGGGGAGGAGCCCAGAGCCUGAAUCAGCAUGUGUGUUAGUGGAAGCGUCUGGAAAGGCGCGCGAUACAGGGUGACAGCCCCGUACACAAAAGCGCAUGUGCUGUGAGCUCGAUGAGUAGGGCGGGACACGUGGUAUCCUGUCUGAAUAUGGGGGGACCAUCCUCCAAGGCUAAAUACUCCUGACUGACCGAUAGUGAACCAGUACCGUGAGGGAAAGGCGAAAAGAACCCCGGCGAGGGGAGUGAAAAAGAACCUGAAACCGUGUACGUACAAGCAGUGGGAGCACAGGUUUACCUGUGUGACUGCGUACCUUUUGUAUAAUGGGUCAGCGACUUAUAUUCUGUAGCAAGGUUAACCGAAUAGGGGAGCCGGAGGGAAACCGAGUCUUAAUUGGGCGUUAAGUUGCAGGGUAUAGACCCGAAACCCGGUGAUCUAGCCAUGGGCAGGUUGAAGGUUGGGUAACACUAACUGGAGGACCGAACCGACUAAUGUUGAAAAAUUAGCGGAUGACCUGUGGCUGGGGGUGAAAGGCCAAUCAAACCGGGAGAUAGCUGGUUCUCCCCGAAAGCUAUUUAGGUAGCGCCUCGUGAAUUCAUCUCCGGGGGUAGAGCACUGUUUCGGCUAGGGGGCCAUCCCGGCUUACCAACCCGAUGCAAACUGCGAAUACCGGAGAAUGUUAUCACGGGAGACACACGGCGGGUGCUAACGUCCGUCGUGAAGAGGGAAACAACCCAGACCGCCAGCUAAGGUCCCAAAGUCAUGGUUAAGUGGGAAACGAUGUGGGAAGGCCCAGACAGCCAGGAUGUUGGCUUAGAAGCAGCCAUCAUUUAAAGAAAGCGUAAUAGCUCACUGGUCGAGUCGGCCUGCGCGGAAGAUGUAACGGGGCUAAACCAUGCACCGAAGCUGCGGCAGCGAACGUAUCACUUAAAGCGAUUCAGCGGGUUACGAUUGACGGAGCGAAGCGACGUCAAAGCGUAUACAAAGUCGAGUCGGUUUAAGGAUACGUUCGUUGGGUAGGGGAGCGUUCUGUAAGCCUGUGAAGGUGUGUCGUGAGGCAUGCUGGAGGUAUCAGAAGUGCGAAUGCUGACAUAAGUAACGAUAAAGCGGGUGAAAAGCCCGCUCGCCGGAAGACCAAGGGUUCCUGUCCAACGUUAAUCGGGGCAGGGUGAGUCGACCCCUAAGGCGAGGCCGAAAGGCGUAGUCGAUGGGAAACGGGUUAAUAUUCCCGUACUUGGUGUUACUGCGAAGGGGGGACGGAGAAGGCUAUGUUGGCCGGGCGACGGUU
rnacentral:rRNA from 1 species